GUGUUCACUUCGGCAGCACAUAUACUAAAAUCGGAAUGAUACAGAGAGGAUUAGCCUGACCCCUGCGCAAGGAUGACACCUAAAUUCGUGAAGCGUUCCAUAUUAAA
ensembl:snRNA U6 U6 spliceosomal RNA